AGUAGAUUGGGAAACUCAUCAAAUUUUACAAACUACCGAGCAAAGCUUGCUCGCCGAUGGCGGGCCCCAUUCCUUCGGGAAGCGAUAGUGGAUUUUCCACACGCCAGGCGGAUUACAAAGGUGAGUGAGCUCUCAAAUCCUGUCGUUCGGAGUUUCAUCGCAUCCUUUGGUGUGGCACUCU
rnacentral:sRNA from 1 species